rnacentral:rRNA from 1 species
AUGGGAAACACCAUCGGUUCUGCGUCUUCUUCGGUGAAGCAGGAUGUGCCCGAGACGUGGUCGACGAGUUUUACGGAGGGCGACACCGCGGCGCACAAUUUUGAGGUGACGGGCUUCUCGCUGCUAGACGGCAUGGGCGCCGGCAACUUUGUCUCGUCGAGCACAUUCUUCGUCGGCGGCUGCGAGUGGGACAUCACGUUCUACCCCGACGGGUGGAAGGCGGGCGGUGGCGCCCACGCCUCCGCUUAUCUGCGUCUAUGCAAUGGAGAACUAGGGUUGCAGACCAACUACACCCUGAGUUUAUUGGGCAAGGAUGGCCAAGUGUUUGUGCAACGGAGCAUAGAACAUACCUUCCAGUCCGCAGGUAUUUUUUGGGGCUUCGAGCACUUUGUCCAGAAGUCCAAGCUGCGACGGCUGCUAUCCGACAACGAGGACUGUGUAACGAUCAGGUGUGUUUUGACUGUCAUGAGGAAGCAUGACACUUUGGCCAUCCCGGCCCCGCCGUCGAAUCUGCAAGAGGAUUUUGCAAGGAUGUUGAAGGACCAGGAAGGCGCGGAUGUAACGUUCAUCGUGGGUGACAAAUCCUUCCGUGCUCAUAGACACGUGUUGGCGGCACGAUCACCGGCCUUGAGGGCAGAGCUUUUGGACCCGACAAAGGAGGACCCUACAAAACCCGUCAAGGUUGAUGACAUGGACCCCGUCAUCUUCGAGGCGCUUCUUUAUUUCAUGUACACGGAUACGCUCCCACAUGGUUGUGAUCUUGAGAAAAACGCAACGCUGCAACAUUUGUUCGUUGUCGGAGUUCGAUAUGGCCUGGACAGGCUAGCGACGAUGUGUGAAGGGAAACUAUGCCAAAACAUAAACGAGCAAACAGUGGCAACCNNNNNNNNNNCCCUAACUUUGGCAGAGUGGUAUGACCGCGUCCUUCUCAAAAAUGCUUGCAUCGCAUUUGUGUCGUCGCAGGAUGUGCUCGACGCCAUGAAGGAGACCAAUGGAUUCAAGCACCUCAUGACACGCUAUCCGGGGGUGAUGGUGGAUAUUUUGAAACAGAAUCUGCCGUCGUCAAUAGGGGUUCGCAAGCAGGUCGUACGGAUGCAGCGAGGCAGGACUCCUAUAUCACGCAACAUGAAGCGACGUGCCUCGCGAAUACGCCAUGCGGUUUUGCCCUCGGUUUGCGUCCUGGCGCUGGCCUUGGUUGGCUUCUGUAUUCCACAUCCACAGCGGCUCCUAACAAGCCAGCCCAUGCUUGGCUUCUUGUAG